UUUCCGUAGGUGAACCUGCGGAAGGAUCAUUAUCAUACAACUGAGGUGCGAGGGCUGUCGCUGACUUUUAAAGUCGUGCACGCCCAAGUGCUCUCACAUAUAUCCAUCUCACCCAUUUGUGCAUCAUCGCGUGGGUCCUGCUCUUUGGCUUGUUCCAAGGAGGGGGGCUUGCGUUUUCAUACAAACACCCUUUUAAUGGAAUGUAGAAUGUUCUUGCAAUAUAAAUACAACUUUCAACAACGGAUCUCUUGGCUCUC
rnacentral:misc_RNA from 1 species